rnacentral:rRNA from 1 species
AAGGAUCAUUACUGAAGUGAUUUGGGGAUGUUGCUGGCCUCUUCUUGUGGGGGGCAAUGUGCACUCUCCAAAACAAUUCACGAUUUCCAUCACACCCCUUGUGCACAUCCUGUAGGCCGCCCUCUCACUCCCUUUUUACCAAGGGAGAAAGCAGCAGGGUGUCCUAUGUAUUCUGCCAAUAUCACACAUUUUGAAUGGUGCUCAGGAAUGCAUCUUUUGGAUUAUUUUUGUAAAAGUAAUCAUAGAAACAACUUUCAACAAUGGAUCUCUUGGCUCUCGCAUCGAUGAAGAACGCAGCGAAAUGCGAUACGUAAUGUGAAUUGCAGAAUUCCGUGAAUCAUCGAAUCUUUGAACGCACCUUGCGCCUCUUGGUAUUCCGAGGGGCAUGCCUGUUUGAGUGUCAUUAAUAUCCUCAAAAGAGACCUUCCUUGAGGAGGCCUCUUUUGGAAGUUGGGGUGUGCUGGCCCUUUGUUUCUAGGGUUCGGCUCCUCUGAAAUGCAUUAGCGGUGUGACAUCCACCUGCACAUGCUUCCUUGGCAUUGAUAAGUCCUUCAUGCCCAAGUUGCUGAGCAGCUGUGGCAAGGGUUCACUCGCUCAAAGCUUUGCAUGGGUUCGCCCAUCAUUAUGACCCAAUGUAACCUCAAAUCAGGUAGGACUACCC